rnacentral:rRNA from 1 species
UACGUAGGGGGCAAGCGUUGUCCGGAAUCAUUGGGCGUAAAGAGCGUGUAGGCGGCCUGAUAAGUCCGCCGUGAAAGUCCAGGGCUCAACCCUGGAAUGCCGGUGGAAACUGUCGGGCUGGAGUCCGGAAGAGGCGAGUGGAAUUCCUGGUGUAGCGGUGAAAUGCGCAGAUAUCAGGAGGAACACCAAUGGCGAAGGCAGCUCGCUGGGACGGUACUGACGCUGAGACGCGAAAGCGUGGGGAGCAAACAGG